rnacentral:rRNA from 1 species
GACGAAGGAUGCAAGCGUUAUCCGGAUUCAUUGGGUUUAAAGGGAGCGUAGGUGGCCUUAUAAGUCAGUGGUGAAAAUCUCGCAGCUUAACUGUGAAAUUGCCAUUGAUACUGUAGGGCUUGAGUACAGAUGCCGUUGGCGGAAUAUGACAUGUAGUGGUGAAAUACAUAGAGAUGUCAUAGAACACCGAUUGCGAAGGCAGCUGACGAAACUGUAACUGACACUGAGGCUCGAAAAGUGCGGGGGAUCAAAACAGG